rnacentral:rRNA from 1 species
CCUACGGGGGGCAGCAGUGAGGAAUAUUGGUCAAUGGACGAGAGUCUGAACCAGCCAAGUAGCGUGAAGGAUGACUGCCCUAUGGGUUGUAAACUUCUUUUAUAAAGGAAUAAAACGAGGCACGUGUGCCUUUUUGCAUGUACUUUAUGAAUAAGGAUCGGCUAACUCCGUGCUAGCAGCCGCGGUAAUACGGAGGAUCCGAGCGUUAUCCGGAUUUAUUGGGUUUAAAGGGAGCGUAGAUGGGUUGUUAAGUCAGUUGUGAAAGUUUGCGGCUCAACCGUAAAAUUGCAAUUGAUACUGGCAGUCUUGAGUGCAGUAGAGGUAGGCGGAAUUCGUAGUGUAGCGGUGAAAUGCUUAGAUAUCGCGAAGAACCCCGAUUGCGAAGGCGGCUUACUAAACUGUAACUGACAUUGAUGCUCGAAAGUGUGGGUAGCAAACAGGAUUAGAUACCCCAGUAGUC